AUUAAAUAGAGUUUGAUCCUGGCUCAGAAUAAAUGCUAUUGGUAUGCUUAACACAUGCAAGUUGAAUGUUUAAUUUUUAAACAUAGCGAACGGGUGAGUAACGCGUGAAUUAUCUACCUUUUAAUUCAGGAUAAUUAUUUUAUAUAAAAAUACUGAAUAAUUUUAAUAAAGUUUUAAUAACGUUAAAAGAUGAGUUUGCGUAAGAUUAGGUAGUUGGUAGUUAAAAG
rfam:Pythium ultimum DAOM BR144 ctg_1117875575755, whole genome shotgun sequence.